GUGAGAGCCGGGGGAUUACGCAAGACUCGGAGAGGAUCGAUUUUGUAGACGGUGCGCGUGCGCGAGAUGGGUGCGAGCGUAUUAUGGUGGCUUGCUAAUGGGCGGGUGGACGUUUAGGAGCGCGGGUCUCUCUUUCAAUGGCUUGGUGGGCUUGCUUUCCUUUCUCUGCGGUAUGGGCUGAAAAGGACGUCCGAACCGCACUGGAGGAACUCUCCAGGCACUUGGCUGGUCUGUCUUUGGUGACUGCACAGUCACCAUCACGAGCUGGAUCACCACUGGGUAGCCUGUAAUCUAUGCUACGCUUUCCAGCCUUGGCACCCUGCUGCCUGAUGUCCUCAGCGCUUUACUUCCUGUCCAUAGCCUUGUUGAGCCUGGGGUCUGCACCAGAACAUCCUCUGAAAAAUGCUUGAACCCUUGACAGCUGUGUCUAAAGAGACGCGGGAAGCUUUACAGUAUCAACUGAAUGGUUUUCCCAUUUUUAAGGUGUUUUUUUUUUCCUAUGUGUAUUUGUGUUCGUGUGCACACGAGUGCAAGUGCUUGCAGAAGACCGAAUAGCGAGCUGUUCACUGUGGGUGCUGGGAACUGAACUUGGGUCCCCUUCAAGAGCAGUAUGAGUUCUUAGCCAUUGAACCAUUUCUGCAGCUCAUUUCUCCCCGCUUUUAUUCAUUUCCCUGAAACCUUGCAGUCCAUGUCUUGUGUGCCUAUUAAUUGCAUGGUUUCCUGGCUAUAACAAGAGGGAAAGGAAACUAACAGACUGUUAAUCGCCACCACCCACCCCCACAAGGGCAAUAACAAGGUUCGCCUUGUGGUAGUUGAAAUCAACUUCUAAUCCUUUUUGAUUAAUGAAAUUUAGGGCCACCAUCAAUAACCAGAAAUGAUUUAUUGGGUCCGUCAAUGCUACAGACCUGAUGUUGUUGAACUUGCAACUAGGAGAGGUUCUUACAUUGUAAGUUGUUCAAAGAAACCAAGAAGUGUUUUAUGACAUGAACAUUGAUGUAAUUCAAGUUCAAUUGUCCAUAAUUUUAGUGUGUUGAAUUAACUUUCUUUCUUUUCUUAGGUUUCUGGGACAGUGUCUCAUUGUGUAACCGGCUGGCCUGGAGCUAUCUAUGUAGACUAAGCUGGCCUCGAAUUUACAGCGAUCCGUUUGCCUCUGUCUUCCAAGUGCUAGUUCUAAAGGCAUACACUACCACCUCUGGCUUGAAUUAAUUUUGACUGGGAUCUGUGUUUAUUCUUGAAUGAUACCAGCUAAAAGUGGCUUCUGUUCAUGGUGAACCGAUACCCUACCUGGGCAAUACAUACAAAAAAUGUGACAAAACAGCUAAGCCUUCAGCCAGUCGGGCUGAAACUGCCGAAACAUAAUUAUGUAAGAGCCUAAAUAGCUGAGCAAUUGACACAUCUGGAAUUCUGGAGAACUUUGGAAUACACAGCUCUUCUUGAUGGGGGCAUGAACUUUAUUCCAAGUCACUUAGGGUUUUCAGGAAGCCAUCAUGGCAAUUCCACUUCCUCCUCUGGGAAAACUGAGGCUCCGCUGUGUGCUCGCUGCCACCUCAAGUUGGAGUGUUUCUGCCUGAAGUGAUUACAUUAUUCUUUCCCGCAAUGGCAUCUCGGAGAAAUGGGCGCCUUGCUAUUUUGGGAGAUUCUGGAAAGUUCAGGAAAAGGAAGGGUGGCUCUUAUUGGUUAUGAUCCAUGAGAAUAUCUUAUAGACUGCCUCUGCUUCUUGGACCACUGCAAUGUGUGUGAACAGCUGUUGUCUACUACACUCCAUUGUCACUGUGACCUUGUGCUCAAGCUCACAUGGCCAAGGAAGGAUUAAACUUUUCAUCUAUAAUUUAGAAGCAAAGCUCAUCACAAAAUGAAGCCAGUAAAACACGUAUCACUCGCUAGCAAUAAACUAGAAGAUGUUACAGAAUUACCUUAUGAAAAAGGACUAAGUGAUUUGUCAUCUAAACCAAAGGAAAACACUGAACAAAAUCAUUUGAGGAGAAGAUUGGAACAGUUGUCCUAACAUCUGGACCCACUGGAGAACUCACUGAAUGAUGUACUUUGCCCAUGAGCUCUAGGAAGACAAUGGAACAAACAAUAAAAAUGAAAUGCCUGGAAGAUGACCAGCUCCUGAAGAUGGGGAGACACCAUAUGGUUCCCAUGCUGUGGGAGUUCCCACAGUGGUACCAGGUCUGGUGAUUGUCCAGCAGGAUAUACAGGAUUCAGCACACAGUUAGACCUGGAUAAGAUUUAUUACAGAGGAAUGGAAAGUGGUUUAUCUGAGGAAAGGAGAGCCAAGCCUACAAGGUCUCACAGAGCAUGCUUAAUUUCUCUGACAGUGAUUUGUGAAAACAUAUGUGAUAUGUGAACCUGUGAAGAACAUUAUAAAGAAAUGCAAUGCUCAGAGUUUAUUGGAAAUCUGUCUCAUAGAUGUCCUGUUCAUAGUUUCUAUGGUGGAAGAAACUAUAGAUUUAACAGUGAAAAUGGAGACAAAUCAUGAAGCUUUGCUUCUUCAUCUAACUGGAGGCAUCAUCUACUGCUACAGUUCUCAUAGCUCUACUCCUCAGCUCCAUGGUACUGCAGAUGGUUGCUGUCUCUGCUGUCCAUGUCCACAGGAAGCCGAAGAUCUGACUGUAGGUUUGCGGGAGGGUAGUCUAAGGACUGUCAUGGAAUUGUCAAGGCCAGCCGGAGGGUCAGGUAACAUCACACAGCAUCAGAUUUAAGGAGUCUGGAGGAGAUAUCACACAUUGCUCUAUAUACUCUGCUCUGUAUACUCAGGAGUCUCAUGAAACCCUGAGUAGUUCCCAGCUCCCAGGAGCUAUGUGUGAUAUGCAGAAGGGGAUAGGUCAAGGGCUUGCCAGCAGUACUCACAGCAUCUUAGAUGAUCUGAAGGAGGUGGAAUGGGGGUGAUUGAAGGAGCACUGACUGUCAUGGUCUUCUUGGAGGUCAUCUCUAGAUUAAUAGAUGGCUAGGGGUCUGUGGGCCAAGGGGAAUCUACAUUUUUAGAAAUUAUAGAUGAUCUGCUCUCAGGGAUGUUUCUAUUGCUUGUGACCAAGAAGAAAUGACAAGGAAAGAUGGUCAUGACUUGGGAAGGAGACAGAAGAGACAUACAGGAGUAGAGCAGCACUAAGGAUGUCAUAAAAUUCGAGGGAUAAUUCACAAAUGAUAGAAAAAUGAUUAAAUGGGACAUAUUUCCUCAUUUCUCUCUCCUUCCUUUGUCAUGUUGGACCCUUAAUUUCUGCUACCUCCUAAUGCCUUCCCUCCAAGGACAGUGACUAUCCCAUAAUAUCUGGUUGUUCCUUUGCAUAGGCCUUGAUGCCCCAGAGCUGGGUUUGGAUCCAUGGUAUGGAGCAGGUGCCCUGAGAAUGGGCUCUGCGCCCUGAUCUGGACCUUCCCUUAAAAUGUGAGGAAUAAACCCAAUCUGAGCAUAUCAGGGUGUCUCUCUACCUUCACCAUGGGGUUGGCUGUCACUACAUAUACUAUUCCAUGCUCUCCAUAGCUACAAUAUUUUCUGGAUUCCUAUCUAACAAAACUCUUAAACCUUGUUGAUGUUCUCAAAUAAGCCCCAGCCUAACUUAGGAAUAAAAGUUAUUCUUAUUCCUCUUUAUACAAGUGGGUCUAGUCCUCAGACCCAUUCAACCAAAGACUGCCCUACCCUCUCUGCAAUGAACAUCAUCUCUUCGGUCAUCUACAUUCUUCUCAUCCCUAUUGCCUAAGGUGCUGGGACAGUUCAGAGAUGCUGAGUCGGUCUUGCUUUCUCUCUUUUCUUCCCGAUUGUAAUCAAGACUCGGAAAGUACUUACAUCCAUUGAUGAAAUGGUAACUGUUCCGAACCUGAGUCUAAAAUGAGGGAAAAAUUAUUUGUAAUGUUUAUGUUAUUCUCAUAUAGAUUCUCUCACCGUGGUUAAUUUGGGGCUGCUAACAGUUUAAUUACUAUCUGGUCAUUUCUCAGUCCAAUCCACUCCAACACAACACUGUAUUGUGUCCACAGUUGGUUUGUCUCCCCUAGGCUCAGCCAUAUCACACCCAGUGGACCAUUGUAUAGCCUCUACACACUCCAGUUUCAGUGUUUCCCUAGAUAGAGGCUCUGCAUAGAAGAACAGGGUUGUUAGAAACUGAAACUGAUGGGAUCCAUCUGUGUAUUCUUUGAAGCAAAUGUGAUUGUCUUGUAAGUUUUUUUUAAAUAUUUAUAUGUUUGUAUGUGUGUGUGUUUACACGUGUAAGUUCAGGCAUGUGUUGUUCAUAUGCCAUGGUGCAUGUGUGCAGGACAACUUUGGGUGUUGGUCCUCUUCUUGGACAUUGCUCAAGACAGGGUUUCCUGUUCCUGACUACGUAUAGUAGGCUAGCCGGCCUGCUCUCUUCCAGGGAUUCUCUGGUCUCUGCCUCCAAUUUUGCUGGAGGAGUGCUGGCCUUAGAGACUCACACUAUCAUGGCCUGCUUUAUGUGAGUUCUGGUGACACCAACUCAGGUCCUCACACUUACCCAUCAGGCUCUUUACCCACAGAGCCAUCUCAGCCCCUUAUGAACCUUAUGACAUUUUACAAACAUUAAAAAACCUUCCAGCCUGGGGACAUGGCUCAGCAGUUAAAAAUGCAUACUAUUCUUGCAAAGGACCUGAGUUCAGUUCCCAGCACCCACUUCCAGAUGGCUUAUAACUGUAAUUUCAGCUCCAGGGAUCCAUUCCCUCUUCUGGACUCCUUGUGCACCUACACAACGCACACACACACACAUUU